GCAUAUCAAUAAGCGGAGGAAAAGAAACCAACCGGGAUUGCCUCAGUAACGGCGAGUGAAGCGGCAAGAGCUCAAAUUUGAAAGCUGGCCCCUCCGGGGUCCGCGUUGUAAUUUGCAGAGGAUGCUUUGGGUGCGGCCCCCGUCUAAGUGCCCUGGAACGGGCCGUCAGAGAGGGUGAGAAUCCCGUCUUGGGCGGGGUGUCCGUGCCCGUGUAAAGCUCCUUCGACGAGUCGAGUUGUUUGGGAAUGCAGCUCUAAAUGGGUGGUAAAUUUCAUCUAAAGCUAAAUACUGGCCGGAGACCGAUAGCGCACAAGUAGAGUGAUCGAAAGAUGAAAAGCACUUUGAAAAGAGAGUUAAACAGCACGUGAAAUUGUUGAAAGGGAAGCGCUUGCGACCAGACUCGCCCUCGGGGUUCAGCCGGCACUCGUGCCGGUGUACUUCCCCGGGGGCGGGCCAGCGUCAGCUUGGGCGGCCGGUCAAAGGCCUCCGGAAUGUAGUGCCCCCCGGGGCACCUUAUAGCCGGAGGUGCAAUGCGGCCAGCCUGGGCUGAGGAACGCGCUUCGGCACGGACGCUGGCAUAAUGGUCGCAAACGACCCGUCUUGAAACACGGACC
rnacentral:rRNA from 2 species